UCCUUCUCCCUCUCUCUCUCUCUCUCUCUCUCUCUCUCUCUCUCUCUCUCUCUCUCUCUCUCGACACACGCACACACACACACACACACAGGGUAGUGAUGAGAUUACCAAUGUGUGUGCAUAUGGGGGGAUAUGCUAAGCUGCUUGCAACACAUCAGCUAACUAAGUCAAAGCUUGCAAAAUAUCAUCUAACAUUUUGUGUUUAAGGAUGUUCCUGUCUGUCUCUGAGCCAGCAGACUGCAGAAUGGAGUGAGGCUGUUGAUGAAGCAGCAAGACGAAUCCCCCCUUGCCCCUGCCAACUCCCUGCACAUUAUUUUCCAGGCUGUUGGAUUUCAGCGUCUUUCUCUGCUCUCUCCUCUCAGGAUGAAUCCCUAUCCAAAACCAAACAGUGAAGAGCCUGGGAGUUCAUCUGAAACAAAGCCGAGGAGGAAGAGGACAAAACUCACAGGACAAAGGGUUUAAUAGGACCAGGCCACAGCACUAUACCAAAGCAUCUGGAAAAGAUUUGACAUUCGCAGGCUGAGCAAUUGUUGCAACAAUGGUAGAAACAGUGAGAGCUGAACUCCGAUGAUGUUCGCCUGGAAGGAUUCACUGGAAAAUGCACAAACGAAAUUGCACUUGUCGACAACAACUAGACCUUGGCGGGAAAUUCAAAUUGCUAACAGGGAGCCCCAGGCCUCAGAGAUUUGGGAGCCGAGGAACCAGGGAAGAUCUACAGCAGCUACCAACACCUGAGGAUACAUUGUCUCCAGACCCCCUUUAUCAAAUGCAAAAUAUCCCCUUUAAUAAACGGACACUUUUAUUAACGCA